GAGGGCCACUAGAAGAGAAAUUGCAAGGAAUUUCUUGCAACCGUGAAAUCGAUAAAUAUUGCUAAAGGUUUGUAUGUGAUACAAACUAAUUUAUCAUUAAGUACUUCGAUGUCAGAUUCUUGAGUAUUGGAUACUGCCUGUGGCUCAUACUUUUGCAAAUCGUUGCGGGGUCUACAGGAAAUAAAGAGUCUGAAUAAAGGUGACUUCGAGCU
rnacentral:lncRNA from 1 species